rnacentral:rRNA from 1 species
CAGCAGCCACGGUAAAACGAAGGGUGCAAGCGUUAAUCGGAAUUACUGGGCGUAAAGCGUGCGUAGGCGGUUUGUUAAGUCUGUUGUGAAAUCCCCGGGCUCAACCUGGGAAUGGCAAUGGAUACUGGCAAGCUAGAGUGUGUCAGAGGAUGGUGGAAUUCCCGGUGUGGCGGUGAAAUGCGUAGAGAUCGGGAGGAACAUCAGUGGCGAAGGCGGCCAUCUGGGACAACACUGACGCUGAGGCACGAAAGCGUGGGGAGCAAACAGGAUUAGAUACCCCUGUAGUCCCUGUCUCUUAUAA